GGAUGAACGCUAGCGACAGGCCUAACACAUGCAAGUCGAGGGGCAUCGGGGCGAGGAGCAAUCCUUGCCGCCGGCGACCGGCGCACGGGUGAGUAACGCGUAUGCGACCUGCCCGUUGCAGGGGGAUAAUCGGGAGAAAUCCCGUCUAAUACCGCGUAACGCCGCGGGGCUGCAUGGCCCUGCGGCCAAAGGAAGCGAUUCCGGCAACGGAUGGGCAUGCGUGACAUUAGCUAGUUGGCGGGGCAACGGCCCACCAAGGCGACGAUGUCUAGGGGUUCUGAGAGGAAGGUCCCCCACACUGGUACUGAGACACGGACCAGACUCCUACGGGAGGCAGCAGUGAGGAAUAUUGGUCAAUGGGCGCGAGCCUGAACCAGCCAAGUCGCGUGAGGGAUGACGGCCCUACGGGUUGUAAACCUCUUUUGUCGGGGAGCAAAUUCCGCCACGCGUGGCGGAGUCGAGAGUACCCNAAGAAAAAGCAUCGGCUAACUCCGUGCCAGCAGCCGCGGUAAUACGGAGGAUGCGAGCGUUAUCCGGAUUUAUUGGGUUUAAAGGGUGCGUAGGCGGACUGUCAAGUCAGCGGUAAAAUACGGGGGCUCAACCUCCGCCCGCCGUUGAAACUGACGGUCUUGAGUGGGCGAGAAGUAUGCGGAAUGCGUGGUGUAGCGGUGAAAUGCAUAGAUAUCACGCAGAACUCCGAUUGCGAAGGCAGCAUACCGGCNCCCAACUGACGCUGAAGCACGAAAGCGUGGGUAUCGAACAGGAUUAGAUACCCUGGUAGUCCACGCAGUAAACGAUGAAUACUAGCUGUCCGGGGCGAAUGGGCCCUGGGUGGCACAGCGAAAGCGUUAAGUAUUCCACCUGGGGAGUACGCCGGCAACGGUGAAACUCAAAGGAAUUGACGGGGGCCCGCACAAGCGGAGGAACAUGUGGUUUAAUUCGAUGAUACGCGAGGAACCUUACCCGGGCUCAAACGACACAGGAACGGUCCUGAAAGGGGUCGGCUCUACGGAGCCUGUGUCGAGGUGCUGCAUGGUUGUCGUCAGCUCGUGCCGUGAGGUGUCGGCUUAAGUGCCAUAACGAGCGCAACCCCCAUCGACAGUUGCUAACAGGUUAGGCUGAGGACUCUGUCGAGACUGCCGGCGCAAGCUGCGAGGAAGGCGGGGAUGACGUCAAAUCAGCACGGCCCUUACGUCCGGGGCGACACACGUGUUACAAUGGCAGGUACAGCGGGAAGCCACCUGGCGACAGGGAGCGGAACCCGAAAGCCUGUCUCAGUUCGGAUUGGAGUCUGCAACCCGACUCCAUGAAGCUGGAUUCGCUAGUAAUCGCGCAUCAGCCACGGCGCGGUGAAUACGUUCCCGGGCCUUGUACACACCGCCCGUCAAGCCAUGGAAGCCGGGGGUGCCUGAAGUGCGCUGCCGCAAGGAGCGCCCUAGGGUAAAACCGGUGACUGGGGCUAAG
rnacentral:rRNA from 1 species